rnacentral:rRNA from 1 species
GACGAACGCUGGCGGCGUGCUUAACACAUGCAAGUCGAACGGAAAGGCCCUGCUUUUGUUGGGUGCUCGAGUGGCGAACGGGUGAGUAACACGUGAGUAACCUGUCCUUGACUUUGGGAUAACUUCAGGAAACUGGGGCUAAUAUCGGGUAUGAUCUCCUGCUGCAUAGUGGGGGUUGGUAAGUUUCGGCGGUUGGGGAUGGACUCGCGGCUUAUCAGCUUGUUGGUGGGGUAGUGGCUUACCAAGGCUUUGACGGGUAGCCGGCCUGAGAGGGUGACCGGCCACAUUGGGACUGAGAUACGGCCCAGACUCCUACGGGAGGCAGCAGUGGGGAAUAUUGCACAAUGGGCGGAAGCCUGAUGCAGCAACGCCGCGUGCGGGAUGACGGCCUUCGGGUUGUAAACCGCUUUCGCCUGUGACGAAGCGUGAGUGACGGUAAUGGGUAAAGAAGCACCGGCUAACUACGUG